CUAAUCCACCCCUGCAUUAGAAAGUACGAAUAUUUUCGCACUUAAAAUUUAAAAAAUGUUCUGAAAAACUACUUAACUACUUCACUAUGUGCUUGUGCACUCGAUAAAUCAUCGAUAACUUCUCAACUAAGCUUCUGCUGAAAGUUAUAAUAUUUUGCAUAUUACAUAGCACUCGACCCAACAUCAUUUCUAUAAAAUAAAACACAAGUGAAUAUUAAAUUGUUGAAUGUUGUUAUA